rnacentral:ncRNA from 1 species
CAGUCUCAGGCCUGCGGCUCGAAAUAUGAAGGGGGAGAGCCCUUAUAGACCAGGUAGUAUCACGUUUGGUUAGGGGGCCUGUAUAUGGCCCCC